CCUACGGGAGGCAGCAGCGGGGAAUCUUCGGCAAUGGAGGAAACUCUGACCCAGCAACGCCGCGUGAAGGAAGAAGGCCUUCGGGUUGUAAACUUAUGUUGUAAAGGAAGAAAAGAAUGACGGUACAUUAAAAGAAAGCCCAGGCUAACUAUGUGCCAGCCGCCGCGUUAAGACGUAGGGGGCAAGCGUUGAUGGGAAUUACUGGGCGUGAAGGGAGCGUAGGCGGGAGCUUAAGUUAAGAGUGAAAGCCUUGGGCGCAAGCCAAGAAAGUCUCUUAAUAAAGGUUUUCUAGAGGGUGGGAGAGGUAAGUGGAAUACCUUGUGUAGCGGUAGAAUGCGUAGAGAUUAUGAGGAACAUCAGAGGCGAAGGCGGCUUACUGGACCCUAACUGACGCUGAGGCUCGAAAGCGUGGGGAGCAAACAGGAUUAGAUACCCCUGUAGUC
rnacentral:rRNA from 1 species